UACAGAGGUCUCAAGCGUUGUUCGGAUUCAUUGGGCGUAAAGGGUGCGUAGGUGGCGGGGUAAGUCAGGUGUGAAAUCUCGGGGCUCAACCCCGAAACUGCACUUGAUACUGCCUUGCUCGAGUACUGGAGAGGAGAUUGGAAUUUACGGUGUAGCAGUGAAAUGCGUAGAUAUCGUAAGGAAGACCAGUGGCGAAGGCGGCAUCCUGGACCGGUAUUGACGCUGAGGCGCGAAAGCCAGGGGAGCAAACGGG
rnacentral:rRNA from 1 species